rnacentral:lncRNA from 1 species
GUAUAAUUUCAUAAGGACAUAAUGGAUGGAGAGGAGAAAACCUAUGGUGGCUAUUAAGGCCCUGAUGCCACAUAUGUCAAAUGGAUAUCUUCUGAUGGUCAUGAAUUUGUUGUAAAAAGACAACAUGCAUUAACAUCAGGCGUGAUAAAAGCCAUGCUGAGUGGCCCAAGUCAACAUGGCUUGAGAAUGAAACCAGUGAGUUAAUUUUAGAGAGAUCCCUUAACAUGCUAUCAAAAAUAUUUGUGUAUUUUACCUAUAAAGUUUCGCUACACUAACAGCUCCACCGAGAUUCCUGAAUU